rnacentral:lncRNA from 1 species
UUUUCUUGCGAAUAUUUUCUAACUAGAACGAAGUUUGUCAGUUAGCUUUAGUUUGAUUGUUUCCAAUUCUGUUCUAUUCAUUGUUGUCCACGUACUAGUGGUAGUAUAAAUAUUUUCGUUCUGCUUAAAGUGUGAUGGCAGUACGGCAGAUCAUACAAGGAAUGCUGAGACAUGAAAUCACAUUCAUACCACUUGGGGAAUAUUUGGUCAUCCUAUGUUGAAAAUAAACUACAAGAUACUGAUUAUAUUAGUUAUAAUGGAUUUAUGCAAUAUGGCAGUAUAGCAGAUCUGUUAUGGCAUGCUGAGUAAUGAAAUGGCUUUCAGAACACUUGGGGAAAGUAUCCACACAGCAUGUUGAAAAUGGACGAGGAGAUACUGAUAAUAAUAAUGGAUAUAUGCAAUAUGGCAGCAGAGCAGAUUACACAGGGAAUGCUGAGAGAAGAAUUCACUUUCAUUCCACUUGGCGAAAAUAUCAACAUCCUAUGUAGAAAAUGAACUUCAAGAUACUGAAAUAAUAAUAAUACAAGAUUUGUGCAAUGGACGUGUAAUGGUUAUUGAAUAUGGCAGUACGGCAGAUCAUACAAGGAAUGCUGAGACAUGAAAUCACAUUCAUACCACUUGGGGAAUAUUUGGUCAUCCUAUGUUGAAAAUAAACUACAAGAUACUGAUUAUAUUAGUUAUAAUGGAUUUAUGCAAUAUGGCAGUAUAGCAGAUCUGUUAUGGCAUGCUGAGUAAUGAAAUGGCUUUCAGAACACUUGGGGAAAGUAUCCACACAGCAUGUUGAAAAUGGACGAGGAGAUACUGAUAAUAAUAAUGGAUAUAUGCAAUAUGGCAGCAGAGCAGAUUACACAGGGAAUGCUGAGAGAAGAAUUCACUUUCAUUCCACUUGGCGAAAAUAUCAACAUCCUAUGUAGAAAAUGAACUUCAAGAUACUGAAAUAAUAAUAAUACAAGAUUUGUGCAAUGGACGUGUAAUGGUUAUUGAAUAUGGCAGUACGGCAGAUCAUACAAGGAAUGCUGAGACAUGAAAUCACAUUCAUACCACUUGGGGAAUAUAUGGUCAUCCUAUGUUGAAAAUAAACUACAAGAUACUGAUUAUAUUAGUUAUAAUGGAUUUAUGCAAUAUGGCAGCAGAGCAGAUUACACAGGGAAUGCUGAGAGAAGAAUUCACUUUCAUUCCACUUGGCGAAAAUAUCAACAUCCUAUGUAGAAAAUGAACUUCAAGAUACUGAAAUAAUAAUAAUACAAGAUUUGUGCAAUGGACGUGUAAUGGUUAUUGAAUAUGGCAGUACGGCAGAUCAUACAAGGAAUGCUGAGACAUGAAAUCACAUUCAUACCACUUGGGGAAUAUAUCGUCAUCCUAUGUUGAAAAUAAACUACAAGAUACUGAUUAUAUUAGUUAUAAUGGAUUUAUGCAAUAUGGCAGUAUAGCAGAUCUGUCAUGGCAUGCUGAGUAAUGAAUUGGCUUUCAGAACACUUGGGGAAAGUAUCCACACAGCAUGUUGAAAAUGGACGAGGAGAUACUGAUAAUAAUAAUGGAUAUAUGCAAUAUGGCAGCAGAGCAGAUUACACAGGGAAUGCUGAGAGAAGAAUUCACUUUCAUUCCACUUGGCGAGAAUAUCAACAUCCUAUGUAGAAAAUGAACUUCAAGAUACUGAAAUAAUAAUAAUACAAGAUUUGUGCAAUAGACGUGUAAUGGUUAUUGAAUGUAAUUUAUAGUAAAUGAAUAGUUGUGAAACAAUUGAAAUUUGUUAAAAAUCUUAAUAAAAUAUUGGUAAACACCUUCAGCUUGGAAUUUUCGUUCUUAAAAUUUGCCAUAGCUAUAAAAAUGGUUUUAUUAUUACUUCACGUCUACAUGAUCAUUUUGAAGAAAAUCACCAAUUUCAUAUUUUACGGUAUUCAUAAAACAGUCAAUAUUAUGUUAGUGUCAUGAAACUCUGUCAAUUAGAUUAAGAAUAUGAUUCUAAUUUACCAUUGUUAACUUUCAUUUAUUUCAUUAACCCUGAUAUUUUAAAAACCCUAUAAAACAUGAUUUUAUAUGAUAAUUUUGACGAAUAUUGUAAAUUCCAAUUUUUUACUGCAUAUAAAACACUCAGUUAUCACAGGUUAGUGUGUUGAAACCUUGUCGUUUAGAUCAAGAAGAAAAUGGUUCCAUUAUACCAUUAUUAACUUUCUUAUGUUUCAUUUAACACGAUGUUUUAAAAACACUGAAAAAUAUGUUUUCGUAUGGUAACUUUGACUGAAAUUACAAAUUUAUAUUUUUUCCAUAUUAAAAUGCAGCAUUUCUAAGUUAUUCAAACAGCGCAUUCCUUAGUUGAAUUUAUUUUACAUUCAAAUUCAACAAAACAUCGGAGUAUUUUUCUACUAUCUUUUGUCGCUUAUCAUGAUUAUUAUUUCUUAUCAUCUGUUAUAAGUUUAUCUUUCGUAUUAUUAUCUUCUUUCAGUUUUACUUUCGUAUUUGCAUUUGAGUUUGAAUUGUAAUUUUUCUUGCGAAUAUUUUCUAACUAGAACGAAGUUUGUCAGUUAGCUUUAGUUUGAUUGUUUCCAAUUCUGUUCUAUUCAUUGUUGUCCACGUACUAGUGGUAGUAUAAAUAUUUUCGUUCUCCUUAAAGUGUGAUGGCAGUACGGCAGAUCAUACAAGGAAUGCUGAGACAUGAAAUCACAUUCAUACCACUUGGGGAAUAUAUCGUCAUCCUAUGUUGAAAAUAAACUACAAGAUACUGAUUAUAUUAGUUAUAAUGGAUUUAUGCAAUAUGGCAGUAUAGCAGAUCUGUCAUGGCAUGCUGAGUAAUGAAUUGGCUUUCAGAACACUUGGGGAAAGUAUCCACACAGCAUGUUGAAAAUGGACGAGGAGAUACUGAUAAUAAUAAUGGAUAUAUGCAAUAUGGCAGCAGAGCAGAUUACACAGGGAAUGCUGAGAGAAGAAUUCACUUUCAUUCCACUUGGCGAAAAUAUCAACAUCCUAUGUAGAAAAUGAACUUCAAGAUACUGAAAUAAUAAUAAUACAAGAUUUGUGCAAUGGACGUGUAAUGGUUAUUGAAUAUGGCAGUACGGCAGAUCAUACAAGGAAUGCUGAGACAUGAAAUCACAUUCAUACCACUUGGGGAAUAUAUCGUCAUCCUAUGUUGAAAAUAAACUACAAGAUACUGAUUAUAUUAGUUAUAAUGGAUUUAUGCAAUAUGGCAGUAUAGCAGAUCUGUCAUGGCAUGCUGAGUAAUGAAUUGGCUUUCAGAACACUUGGGGAAAGUAUCCACACAGCAUGUUGAAAAUGGACGAGGAGAUACUGAUAAUAAUAAUGGAUAUAUGCAAUAUGGCAGCAGAGCAGAUUACACAGGGAAUGCUGAGAGAAGAAUUCACUUUCAUUCCACUUGGCGAAAAUAUCAACAUCCUAUGUAGAAAAUGAACUUCAAGAUACUGAAAUAAUAAUAAUACAAGAUUUGUGCAAUGGACGUAUGGCAGUACGGCAGAUCAUACAAGGAAUGCUGAGACACGAAAUCACAUUCAUACCACUUGGGGAAUAUAUCGUCAUCCUAUGUUGAAAAUAAACUACAAGAUACUGAUUAUAUUAGUUAUAAUGGAUUUAUGCAAUAUGGCAGUAUAGCAGAUCUGUCAUGGCAUGCUGAGUAAUGAAUUGGCUUUCAGAACACUUGGGGAAAGUAUCCACACAGCAUGUUGAAAAUGGACGAGGAGAUACUGAUAAUAAUAAUGGAUAUAUGCAAUAUGGCAGUAUAGCAGAUCUGUCAUGGCAUGCUGAGUAAUGAAUUGGCUUUCAGAACACUUGGGGAAAGUAUCCACACAGCAUGUUGAAAAUGGACGAGGAGAUACUGAUAAUAAUAAUGGAUAUAUGCAAUAUGGCAGCUGAGCAGAUUACACAGGGAAUGCUGAGAGAAGAAUUCACUUUCAUUCCACUUGGCGAAAAUAUCAACAUCCUAUGUAGAAAAUGAACUUCAAGAUACUGAAAUAAUAAUAAUACAAGAUUUGUGCAAUGGACGUAUGGCAGUACGGCAGAUCAUACAAGGAAUGCUGAGACACGAAAUCACAUUCAUACCACUUGGGGAAUAUAUCGUCAUCCUAUGUUGAAAAUAAACUACAAGAUACUGAUUAUAUUAGUUAUAAUGGAUUUAUGCAAUAUGGCAGUAUAGCAGAUCUGUCAUGGCAUGCUGAGUAAUGAAUUGGCUUUCAGAACACUUGGGGAAAGUAUCCACACAGCAUGUUGAAAAUGGACGAGGAGAUACUGAUAAUAAUAAUGGAUAUAUGCAUU